GGUGAAGACCUGGCAGCCUUGGAUCUUAGAGAUGACAGGACACAAAGAGGGAAGUCCACCGAGGUCCUUCAAAGGACUCAGGCUUUCAAAGGUGGCAGCAAAGAUCUGUUGAAACCUUAAUCCUCAGCAUUCCAGAACACAGCUUCCUCAACGGCCAUCCCAUCUGUAAUUAGUUUGGAUGAAGUCUUCCUGGGAUAGGAUGGUCUGUGGUGUGAUGCCCCAAAGCAUGUCAUCCAAGUAUGCUUACUUACUACUGGAGACUUGG
rnacentral:lncRNA from 1 species